rnacentral:snRNA from 1 species
AAAGAAUCAUCCCGUAGA